rnacentral:rRNA from 1 species
GACGGAGGAUGCAAGCGUUAUCCGGAAUUAUUGGGCGUAAAGCGUCCGUAGGUGGCAACUUAAGUCUGUUGUUAAAGCGUGCAGCUCAACUGCAUAUAGGCAAUGGAAACUGGGUAGCUAGAGUGCGGUAGGGGUAGAGGGAAUUCCCAGUGUAGCGGUGAAAUGCGUAGAUAUUGGGAAGAACACCAGUGGCGAAGGCGCUCUACUGGGCCGCAACUGACACUGAUGGACGAAAGCUAGGGGAGCGAAUGGG